AGUGGGGGAUAACGUAGCGAAAGUUACGCUAAUACCGCAUAUGCCCUGAGGGGGAAAGGAGGGGAUCGUAAGACCUUUCGCUUUCGGAGUGGCCGAUAUCAGAUUAGCUAGUUGGUGGGGUAAAGGCCUACCAAGGCGACGAUCUGUAGCGGGUCUGAGAGGAUGAUCCGCCACACUGGGACUGAGACACGGCCCAGACUCCUACGGGAGGCAGCAGUGGGGAAUUUUGGACAAUGGGGGCAACCCUGAUCCAGCCAUGCCGCGUGAGUGAAGAAGGCCUUCGGGUUGUAAAGCUCUUUCAGACGGAAAGAAAACUUAGUCGCUAAUACCGGCUGAGGAUGACGGUACCGUAAGAAGAAGCACCGGCUAACUACGUGCCAGCAGCCGCGGUAAUACGUAGGGUGCGAGCGUUAAUCGGAAUUACUGGGCGUAAAGCGUGCGCAGGCGGUUUUGUAAGACAGAUGUGAAAUCCCCGGGCUCAACCUGGGAACUGCAUUUGUGACUGCAAGGCUAGAGUACAGCAGAGGGGGGUAGAAUUCCA
rnacentral:rRNA from 1 species